CGUACGACUGAGUAUGUUGCGCGGAGAGCUACGGAAAAUCUGGUGUGUUUUCGUGGAAAUUUACCGAAUUGGUGUGGAAAAUAUUAUAAAAACUGUGCAUCUUGGUGUGAUUUAACAUUAAUUUAAGCGAACGUUCAAUUAUAAUGAGAUGUGUUUUGUAUACUUAUAGUCUGAUCCGCAAUGUUAAUAUCCGUUGACAAUGCCAUGUAGGGGGUUCGUGUUUCCUGGUUAAGAAAGAAACCAUGAACCGAUUAAGGAUAUGAUGAAAUUGUAGAAAUCAUUGGCUCUCCAUCUUACGAUCCUGGAGAAAGUCCGUUACAACGCCUUUACACCCAUGUUAAGAGGAAAUUAGCAAAAGGACUUUGAUUAUGAUGUUGUUGCAGAAGUUAUUGGUCUUUCAUCCUACCACUGUGAAGGAGAAGGAUGCAGUUUCUUUAUUCCUAUGCUGAGAGGAAACUAGCAAAAGGACUUCGACCAU